AACGAACGCUGGCGGCAUGCCUAACACAUGCAAGUCGAACGAGACCUUCGGGCCUAGUGGCGCACGGGUGCGUAACGCGUGGGAACCUGCCCGUAGGUUCGGAACCACUCAGAGUAAUUUGAGCUAAUACCGGUUGAUCUCUUCGGACCAAAGAUUUAUUGCCUUGGGAUGGGGCCGCGUUAGUUUCGGGGGUUGGGGGGGUAAAGGCCUGCCAAGGGGACGAUCCAGGGCUGGUAUGAGAGGAGGAUCAUCCACGCUGGGACUGCGACACGGCCCAGACUGCUACGGGAGGCAGCAGUGGGGAAUAUUGGACACUGGGCGAAAGCCUGAUCCAGCAAUGCCGCGUGAGUGAUGCAGGCCUUAGGGUUGUAAAGCUCUUUUACCCGAGAUGAUAAUGACGGUAUCGGGAGAAUAAGCACCGGCUAACUCCGUG
rnacentral:rRNA from 1 species